rnacentral:sRNA from 1 species
GGCUCAUUUAACGUGACGACUAUUCGAAAUCAACAACCAAAUUUCAGUAAAAUUUUUCCGCCAUUUUAUUUUAAAAUUUAAGAUUACAAAAUCUCAGAAAAAACCAUGACCCAUAUUCGAAGACUGAGCGCGAGUGAGCAACACAGGUUCCAGAAGUGGCUGCAGGAUCUAGACAUCACUCUAAACGACCGCACCCGACGGGAUGUCUACUGCAAUGUGCCGCCGGUGGCUCGGAUAUUCAAGAGGAGCCACAAGCGUGUGGACCUGAACUGCUACCCCACAGUUAGCAGCGUAGCACUGCGUCUCAAGAAUUGGAGAGUGUUUAAUUUCAGAGUUCUAAGAAAGCUGGGCCUAUGCCGAGCACCGUGGGAGCUGCAGAACCUCGCCGCUGGCAAAGAAGGGGCCGUUGACUGCCUGCUAUACGAACUGAUGGAACGUGUGUCCAGGGUCUAAAAGUCUCAACUGAUGAUUGCUCAGUGGGGCAGAAACAAGACUCUGGGGCAGAAGAGUCGCGGCUCAAAAAUUAUCUGCAAAUGUGUGACAUUCCAGGAAAGCCAUCUACGCAUCGAAGGAAAUUGAAUGGAAAAUGAUUGCCUAAUUAAAGGAUAUUCCAAGAACCAACAGAACAUAAGUGUGCGACAAGUGUGUGUGCAUAUUGGCAGACACUGUGCCUAACCUUGACAACACUGGCACACUUCCCUCCCACAUGUGUGCGUGUGCCUGUCCCUGUGCCUGUGCGAGUGUCUAUGCAGGUUUAUAGUCGAAUAGAAUUGUCAGCGUGUUGGGAAAUUCACAUCAUGUUACAGCUUAUUAUCGCCAGAGACAGACGGGGACGGGGCGGGGACGUAGACGGAGACGGAGACGCAGACAGAAGCUGAUGAAAGGCCGCAUAAGCAGUGCAGCAUAAAGAGAGGCACAACAGAACAAAACAGAACAGAACCUUAGGAAAUGCUAAGAAAAGUGAAAGUGGAAAAUUCUAUUGCACCUUUAAGAUGGUCGGGAUGAAGAGCAAAGACAUAUACAUACAUAUGUAUGUAAUAUAUGAAAAUAAAAAUCGUAUAAAAUACCAGCAAGGAGAACAGUAGAAUAUCGUAACAUGGCUACGAAUACAGGAUACCUAUUGCUUCAUUUUGUCGAUACUUCUUUAUGAAUGGAAUUGCAACAAAACUCUCUCCAUAACUCAAAUUAUCUGUGGAUGCUGCCGUUUUUUGUCCGCUGUCCGCUACAGAUGCUCGAAUACAGUACACCCCGUCGUCUGUGGGAGUAACAGGUAUGGAAAGACAAGAAGACGGCGAUGAAGAAGCUGGCAGACAUGUUUGCUGCUGCUGCAGUCAGCCCCACGGCAAACACAAAUUCUUCGGCAAUUUAUUAUUAGAAAGAGGCAGACGCCACGAGGCGAGGCCAGCCAGCGUCAAGCCGUAGAGUAGGAGGAGUGAGAGAGGGAGAGGUAGAGGAAAGGAGAGCAGAAAUACUCCUAGAGAAGAGAGACCGACCAGCAGGAGCGACAGACGACCAGAGCGGCAGAGCGGCAGAGCAGCGACUGCAUUGCUCGCAGGGCCAUGACAGCUGUUUAUGUAGUUGUCGGCAGCAGCUACAACUACAACCACAACUAAGCAGCAGAAGCAGCAGCAGCAGCAACAACCACAAGAGUCGACGAGCGUCGCAAGCACGCGUCUCGGGCAGGGAUUUCCAAGCAGUCGACCGAUGGCUACCCUCUAAGGUAAACACAGAUGGAUACCAGGUCUGAGGACGAUUGAAACAAUUGAUAGCGGCUCCCCCCAAGGCUCGAUCUAAAUUCUUCUGUAUAGCAAUAAAAUAUGUGCAAAUUUUAAAAACAA